GCUAUAAUGCAAGUCGAGCGAACUGAAGGGAGCUUGCUCCCGGAAGUUAGCGGCGGACGGGUGAGUAACACGUGGGUAACCUGCCUGUAAGACUGGGAUAACUCCGGGAAACCGGAGCUAAUACCGGAUAUUUUCUUGAACCGCAUGGUUCAAGAAUGAAAGACGGUUUCGGCUGUCACUUACAGAUGGACCCGCGGCGCAUUAGCUAGUUGGUGAGGUAAUGGCUCACCAAGGCGACGAUGCGUAGCCGACCUGAGAGGGUGAUCGGCCACACUGGGACUGAGACACGGCCCAGACUCCUACGGGAGGCAGCAGUAGGGAAUCUUCCGCAAUGGACGAAAGUCUGACGGAGCAACGCCGCGUGAGUGAUGAAGGUUUUCGGAUCGUAAAGCUCUGUUGUUAGGGAAGAACAAGUACGAGAGUAACUGCUCGUACCUUGACGGUACCUAACCAGAAAGCCACGGCUAACUACGUGCCAGCAGCCGCGGUAAUACGUAGGUGGCAAGCGUUGUCCGGAAUUAUUGGGCGUAAAGGGCUCGCAGGCGGUUUCUUAAGUCUGAUGUGAAAGCCCCCGGCUCAACCGGGGAAGGUCAUUGGAAACUGGGGAACUUGAGUGCAGAAGAGGAGAGUGGAAUUCCACGUGUAGCGGUGAAAUGCGUAGAGAUGUGGAGGAACACCAGUGGCGAAGGCGACUCUCUGGUCUGUAACUGACGCUGAGGAGCGAAAGCGUGGGGAGCGAACAGGAUUAGAUACCCUGGUAGUCCACGCCGUAAACGAUGAGUGCUAAGUGUUAGGGGGUUUCCGCCCCUUAGUGCUGCAGCUAACGCAUUAAGCACUCCGCCUGGGGAGUACGGUCGCAAGACUGAAACUCAAAGGAAUUGACGGGGGCCCGCACAAGCGGUGGAGCAUGUGGUUUAAUUCGAAGCAACGCGAAGAACCUUACCAGGUCUUGACAUCCUCUGACAACCCUAGAGAUAGGGCUUUCCCUUCGGGGACAGAGUGACAGGUGGUGCAUGGUUGUCCUCAGCUCGUGUC
rnacentral:rRNA from 1 species